rnacentral:lncRNA from 10 species
UCAGGAUUUGAUGGAAAUGCUACAAGAGAAGCAGGCUCUCCCCUUCUGAAAUGAUGAGUGAUAAUGACCAUACAGGUCAACUUUUCCACCACUUGGAGGGAGCCUGUCAAAGAACAAAGGCAACAGAGAAGAGAGCAGAGCUGAGGUUGGGUGAGAGGGAGAAAUUCCUGAGUGCUUGAAUCCCACAUGCCGGAAGCCGCACCACACUUGGACUUCUCAAUACAGGAGCCACUGAGAAACCAAGUCAUGCUGAAGACCUGGAAAUCCCAGCAGGCUGCAAACCAGCUGCAACUACAAUGGGUCAGCCCUUUUGAGAUGCUGCUGACUACCCACUUAUCUGCCAA